GGAUGUAAAAAUGGCUACUUUUAUGAGUGUUAAUUUGGCUCGAUGUUUUGGUGAAUUUUUGACUUGAGCUUAGUACCAAAGCUAGGAAAGGCAUAUGUGCAAAUUGAAAGGACAAUGCAACCACUGUUAUGCUGAUUGAAUAUUCUUUAUAGUUAUUUUUUGUCGCACUGUUGGAACAUCGAGCAUGGUGAAGGGGCAAGAUCUGAUAAACUUGUUGCCAGACGAGAAGCUAAUAGAAAUCAUGAAAUAUGUCGAUGGAAGAGGCAACGACCGAGAUGCUUGCUUGUUGGUCUGUAAAAGAUGGAGGAUGCUGGAGAGUCAGGGUAAAGCUGUAGGUAUGACAUUGCUCUCGAAGACGAGAAGAAGUGGGCACCGCGUGAUAAUGAAUUGUGAAGAUGACAGCAAUGACAAUGGUUUGAGUAAUUUUUUAGAUAUGGGACUUUGAUUUCUAGCGAAGGGAUGUCUAAGAUUAGAGAGUCUGUCUCUCAUGUGGUGCUCUGCAGUGUUAAGUCACGACCUUGUCAAUCUAGCAAAUGCUUGCAGUGGUUUAAAGGUCUUGGACUUAUAUGUAUAUAAUCAUGUCUACAACCAAACUUCAAUGUUUCUAUCUAUAUAUGUUGCUGUUGUAUCAUCCCAAUUCAAAACAAGGUCGUGAUCUCUAAUUUUUGUUUCCUAUGCUUAUUUGUGGCUGGUUUUUCUUCAUGUUUGUGUAGUAAAUGAUCAUGAUUAAAUUUUUAGCUAUAUAAAGAUGUAUUUAUUAGGUGGAAUUGCUGUAAGACUGCUAUAUCAGGACCAAGGUUUGAAGGCCAUAGGCAUAUAUUGUAAAUAGCUGGAAGAGCUAAAUUUUUAUUUUUGUGAAUGAAUUAGCAAUAUCGACAUAGUAGGAAUUACUGAAGGAUGUGGAAAAUUGCUUCAAUCACUUAGAAUUGCAGCUUGUGCUCGUAUAACAAAUGUAGUAUUGAAGGUCAUUCAACUCUUUACCUAAAUCAUUUUCUAAAAAUUUCCUGCUUUCUCAACCUAGUUCAUCGCAAUUGGUAAGCUGUCUGGCACAGCCUUGAAAUUGUAGAGUCUAUAAAAGUCCAGAUGUAUUAAGUUUUGGAUUGCAUGUUGAUGAUACAAAUGCUCCUCAAGCACAUUGUUUGAUUUUGAUAGUUGACCACCUCGUCAUCGUUUGCUUCCGACUGUAGGCUGUGGAGACCAACUAUAACAUGCUCAAGAAGUUCACUUUAGACUCCGAGUAUAUUGAGAUGGAUGGUGUGCUGGUGAUAGGCCGAGGUUGCGUACAACUACAAAUGCUUCGACUAUAAUGUGUCAAUGUGUGCAAGGAAGAAGUCUGCUUGCUAUUGGGGGAGGAUACAAAAAGUUAAGAAAAGUCACAUUGAGUGACUCAUGCUAUGUGGGUGACCGCAGCCUAGUUGCCAUUGAUGGGGGUUGUCUCCAACUUGAAGCACUGGAAAUAAACCGCUGUCAUAACAUUGGAACUGCAUGGCUUCAGGCUGUGGGCCGUUCUUGCCGGUAGCAAAAAUUUCUUUCACGAUAUAGUGACACCGCAAAAUAUUUCAAUUCCUCAUGCCGUAUGUUGAGGUUCAGACUUACAUCAAUUUAUAAUGAAGCGAUGAUUACUAAUGGUUGAUACUUCCAAGAGAUGUUUUGCAGUUGAUUAAGGGUUUCAUACUGCAACCUCAUACAAGACGAAAACAACUCUCUUCAUAGAGUUUCUUUGUUCAUACUACAACCACUUUUACACCACAACCUCAUGCUGGACCCACUCCGUGUUUACAUUUGAGGAGUUAUAAAAUAUAACAACAUGAAUUAUGUUACAAAAAUAGAAUAAUUUACUAAUUUUUAAUUUUUGAAAUGUGUAUUUUUAUUAAUAUUUUUAAUACAAAAUAAGAAGAAAAUUGCUUAAAGAUAGAUAGAUAACUGAAUAAGAUUGCAAACACUGGAAUCAAAUAACAAUAGAAUGCAUAAUUAUUUUAUUUAGCGUCCUACAUAGGCUACAACUAGUGUGUGUAUAUAUGUGUAUAUAUAUAUAUGUUAUUUUUUACCCAUUAA